UGGGGAAUAUUGCACAAUGGGGGAAACCCUGAUGCAGCGACGCCGCGUGAAGGAAGAAGUUUUCGGUAUGUAAACUUCCUAUCAGCAGGGAAGAUAAUGACGGUACCUGACUAAGAAGCCCCGGCUAA
rnacentral:rRNA from 1 species